rnacentral:lncRNA from 1 species
UAUUUUUUUUUAUAUUGUUUUCAUCAUAUGAACAAAUGAUGGAUAAAAUCAUACUUUGAGAAUUAAAAUCCUAAAACAGAAGUAACAGGCUGUUUUCUAGUUCAAAGACCAGACCAGAGUAAGUGUGAUUUCAUAUUAUGUUGUCUUCUUAUUACCAUAACUUAAACAUCAAAUGAAAUAAUGAUAAAAAACAAUGACGUAGAAAUAGAAGUGUGUCGUCACUUUUACAAAACCCAUCCCUCGAGUAUUGCAUGACAAUAAUAAUAUUAUUUUCAAAUCCUUAUAAAAAGUCUAGUAUGUAACUCAAUGUAAUAUCAUAACCGAGUAUAGUUUGCUGUUCCUCAAAAUAGAACUGAGCAUAACAUGCACUUCAUACCUCUUAAAUAUUUGAUAUAUAUUGAUCAAUUAUUUGUAACUUCCACAUGAUUAUUGUAGAAACCGGCAGAAUUGGUAUGAUUGCAAUUGAGACAACUAUCCACCAAAAUUCAAAUAAAAGGCAUCAAAAUAAAUUGAAUAAAAUUGAGAAUGGAAUGGAAAUGUGUAAAAAGCAACAACCGACAAAAUAAAAAAACAACAGCAAGGUCAACAGUUCAUGUAGCGAGAAUUCCGCCCGGAGGCGUUUUAUUUGAACUGGUGAUAUUCUCUUCAAGUACAAUGUCCGGCCGACAUGUUGCCGUCAUUUCCGAUCUCGCUAAUGAUAAAGAUUGUUUCUCAGAUAAACUAUUGAUUAAUGAAUUGUUGAUGGAUUACAGACCGUUGGUAUUAAUUGUGUAUAUGUAUAUUCAAGACGAGACGAAAACAACAAUUAAUACAAUAGAAGGGUUCUAUAGUGUUAUGAAUUUAUCAUCCACUUUUCAACAGGACGUUACUGUGUAUUAGCUGAAAUUGGACACAACCAAACAGAGCAAGGCAUUCAACACUAGGCAAUAGGAUAUUAUCAUAUAUCUAUUAAUCAUUUACAGAAGGCACCAAUUGUUUUCUAUUGAAAAACAAAACAAUCGCCCCCAAUCCAAUGGAACCUAAUUUCCAAAUGGCAAAGUUAUUAUGAUAUCCUCAUUAAAUAUUUAAUAUAUUAAACACUCAGAUAUAAUGUAUUUGACUGAUCUAUGGCAGAUUUUAAAUUGAUGGCAAAAAUGACACCCCAAACAAAGCAUAAUUACAAAUGUAUAUGGCAGAAUUGGAAAUUGCAUAAUUUUUUGGGGGGUGGGGGGAAAACAUAUCACAAUUCAAUAUCAUUUCGUUUUGAAGGGACUAUGCAAAGUUACUGUUCAUUUGCAAAUUAAAAGAAUAUCUACAUAAAAAAAAACGAUUAAAUUUCUAUCAAUGUAACAACUUAGCGACCCCACACAGAGAUUGCCUUUUAACGGAUAAAAUAAUUGUCUUGCAGAAAAUGAAUAAUUUCAUAGUUCACAGAAAACCUCUCAGCAUUUAUGAAUCUUUUAAAAGAUUCAUCCUUUCUGUUGUAAAAUCUACUUGUUUUCUUGACAUGGUCCUUGUUUUUGGCGUUGCUAGUCAGGUUUAUAACAGCACGUAUUUGUACUUUAAGGAAGCAAAUAUUUUUUUUUUUUGUGUUUAAAAAAAACAACAUAUAUGUAUUUAUUACACAUAAUCUACAUCAGUUUCAGCUAUACUUAUGUUCAAUACCUGUACAGUAGGGGAGAGGCAAAUAAAGGCAACAGUAAUAUACCACUGUUCAAAUGUCACAAAUCGAUUGAAAGUAAACAAAUUAGGGUUACAAACUAAAACCGAGGGAGUCACAUCAACUAUAACAGAAAAAAGAAAGAAACAAGGGAAGUAAGAUUUUUUGAGAAAGCCUGUAACAAUAUCUAAUUAUCAACUGAUGAAAAGUUAAACAAUGUAAACGAUAAAACAAACUGCCAGUUUAAAAUGUAUUGAUCAGUUGAUAAUUGUGCAUCACGAUAUAGACAAAUUUUCAAACGACAAAACUUACACACAAAAAUGUAAUGGAGAGAACUCACAUUUACCACAGGCAAGUUCAAAGGCAGUUACAACUUACAAUUGAAUCAUGUUCCAAUACUUUAAAUAAAAUAGUACACUGUCUAAAACAAAAAAUCGAUUUAAGAACAACAACAGCAGAAGAAGGAAAAGCACGUUCUUCAUAUGACGCAAAUCU